AGAUCUCGGCCCUAGCCCCAUGUCUGGGCUAGAAAUAAAGGCUCUUUGCUUUUACAUCACUCUGGUCUCUCUUGGUGAAUUUCUUGUAUUACUGAACCUAACAUAUAGGGGCUCGUCCGGGAUCCUUGGAAUUCAUCAACAAGACUAGGGUGCUAAGUCUUUAAUAUUAGGAACUCCGGAUGAAUAGGGACCCACAGGGCAUUGGACACCCAGGGCAUUGGACGCCAGUAUAGGCCUAAGUUUUGGGGGUCAGCAAAAGCCUAGGGGGAUGCCCUAAAUAUGGCAGCUGAUCGGGAAGGAGAGGAAGACGCUCCCACCUUCCCACUGGCACCCUCAGGGCAUUGUAGCCAGUAGUCUUACGUGAAAUCUGGGCGCCCCCAACAUGGAAUCAGGGACUGCUGCUGUCAUGAUCCCUGAUGCUCUUGUCUCUGAUCCAUCCCACCACUGUUACCAAGUUCUUACAGAUCUCCAGCCUAUAUUGCAGGACAAUUGGAGUGCUGUGCUACGAGCCUUUGGGAGGGACCAGUCACUAGCUCAACAGAAGCCACCAGUGGCAGGCAUCGGGAGUUGGCAACCUCAAUCUAUCGGGAAAUGGACAUUGACAUGGCCUUCCGGACACCAGGGACGUGAUUACAUCUCAGACGGGACUCCACCCAGUUGGAACCUGGUAUCCAGACUUAAACUUCGACCUCUGCUAUCUGGUAAAGACUGUGGAGGACCGGGAGUCAUGGACACCUCCAGUUAAAAAUGACUAUAUUGCAUUUAAAUGUGUGGGGGACUUCAGAUCACUAGGAUCUGGAUCUAGGCCCAAUAGACAACAGAGAGGGCCCUGUCACUUGCUGCCCACUCCACAAAACACACCCGGGGGUAGAUGCAACCAGAUACAGAUCCGGUUUACCGAAAAAGGAAAAAAAGAGCAACCGGUUGAGAGGUAGAGGUGGCGUGGGGCCUGAGGCUGUAUGCGAUUGAGAAAGACUCAGGAGUGCUAUUUACUAUCCGCCUCCAGGUACGAAAUUGGCAACCCCCAACCAGUCGGGCCUAAACCCUGUGUUGGGGGCUCCAAGGCUACCGAAACCCUUAAGCCAAGAGACAGAAAAUUUAUAGCUAAGAUUAGCUAUAGAGACAAACCACAAGGAGGGAAUGAAGGGUGCAGACUGCAGUGACUCCAUGACAGGCUCCAGAAACUGCAGGCAUGAGACAGGCCCCAGUUUCAGAAGAACAGGUCCUGGAAUUCAGGACCAUGACUGGAAAUUGAACCCAUGGCCCUGAGUCAACAGGAACAAAGCUAAGCUGAGCAUUAAGAAAGGCAUCUCUGGAGAGAUAGACUGUUAAACAUUUCCCCACAUCUCCCCCAGAUGUGUAAAGGAGAUAACCAGGAGGCUAAGCUUGUCGUGUGUGCCGUGUAACCCACACCCUACAUAUCUCCUCCUGUGCUGGGGUUCGGGGUCAAGCACCUAGACAGCUGUAAAGUCUCGGCCCUAGCCCCCAACUAGCCCCCAACUCCGAGCUAGAAUAAAGGCUCUUUGCUUUUGCAUCA